rnacentral:rRNA from 1 species
CCUACGGGGGGCAGCAGUGGGGAAUAUUGCGCAAUGGGGGCAACCCUGACGCAGCCAUGCCGCGUGAAUGAAGAAGGCCUUCGGGUUGUAAAGUUCUUUCGGUAUUGAGGAAGGUUGAUGUGUUAAUAGUACAUCAAAUUGACGUUAAAUACAGAAGAAGCACCGGCUAACUCCGUGCCAGCAGCCGCGGUAAUACGGAGGGUGCGAGCGUUAAUCGGAAUAACUGGGCGUAAAGGGCACGCAGGCGGUUAUUUAAGUGAGGUGUGAAAGCCCCGGGCUUAACCUGGGAAUUGCAUUUCAGACUGGGUAACUAGAGUACUUUAGGGAGGGGUAGAAUUCCACGUGUAGCGGUGAAAUGCGUAGAGAUGUGGAGGAAUACCGAAGGCGAAGGCAGCCCCUUGGGAAUGUACUGACGCUCAUGUGCGAAAGCGUGGGGAGCAAACAGGAUUAGAUACCCUAGUAGUC